rnacentral:siRNA from 1 species
AAAUCAUAUUGUGGUCAAGUGAA